ACGCUCGACACCUACGGGAGACAGCAGUUGGGAAUAUUGGACAAUGGAGGAAACUCUGAUCCAGUGACGCCGCGUGAAGGAAGAAGGUCUUCGGAUUGUAAACUUAUUUUGUCAGGGAAGAAAAAAUGACUGUACCUGAAGAAAAAGCACCGGCUAACUACGUGACAGCAGCCGCGGUAAUCUGAGCGGGCUGGCAAGGC
rnacentral:rRNA from 1 species